rnacentral:rRNA from 1 species
UGCCCCCGAGAUGAGUUCUCCCUGACUCCUUGAGAGUCCUGAAGGAACGUUGAAGACGACGACGUUGAUAGGCCGGGUGUGUAAGCGCAGCGAUGCGUUGAGCUAACCGGUACUAAUGAACCGUGAGGCUUAACCUUACAACGCCGAAG